rnacentral:snoRNA from 1 species
CUUCUAUUAUAUUUUCUGAUAGAAAAGGUGUUGACAGUUUUUGGAAUAAGCUAGUAAGGGUGAUGUCAUCCCAUGAGCCUUCAGGACACUGAGAUCAUCAAGGUCCCUGAAAAUGGUGACAGUG